AUUGAACGCUGGCGGCAGGCUUAACACAUGCAAGUCGAGCGGAGAUGAGGUGCUUGCACCUUAUCUUAGCGGCGGACGGGUGAGUAAUGCUUAGGAAUCUGCCUAUUAGUGGGGGACAACAUUCCGAAAGGAAUGCUAAUACCGCAUACGUCCUACGGGAGAAAGCAGGGGAUCUUCGGACCUUGCGCUAAUAGAUGAGCCUAAGUCGGAUUAGCUAGUUGGUGGGGUAAAGGCCUACCAAGGCGACGAUCUGUAGCGGGUCUGAGAGGAUGAUCCGCCACACUGGGACUGAGACACGGACCAGACUCCUACGGGAGGCAGCAGUGGGGAAUAUUGGACAAUGGGGGGAACCCUGAUCCAGCCAUGCCGCGUGUGUGAAGAAGGCCUUUUGGUUGUAAAGCACUUUAAGCGAGGAGGAGGCUACCGAGAUUAAUACUCUUGGAUAGUGGACGUUACUCGCAGAAUAAGCACCGGCUAACUCUGUGCCAGCAGCCGCAGUAAGAC
rnacentral:rRNA from 1 species